UUUCAACAACGGAUCUCUUGGUUCUGGCAUCGAUGAAGAACGCAGCGAAAUGCGAUAAGUAAUGUGAAUUGCAGAAUUCAGUGAAUCAUCGAA
rnacentral:rRNA from 1 species